UCCUACGGGGGGCAGCAGUGGGGGAUAUUGCACAAUGGGGGAAACCCUGAUGCAGCGACGCCGCGUGGGCGAAGAAGUAUUUCGGUAUGUAAAGCCCCAUCGGCAGGGAAGAAGAAAUGACGGUACCUGAGUAAGAAGCACCGGCUAAAUACGUGCCAGCAGCCGCGGUAAUACGUAUGGUGCAAGCGUUAUCCGGAUUUACUGGGUGUAAAGGGAGCGCAGACGGCAGUGCAAGUCUGGAGUGAAAGCCCGGGGCCCAACCCCGGAACUGCUCUGGAAACUGUGCGGCUAGAGUACUGGAGGGG
rnacentral:rRNA from 1 species